rnacentral:misc_RNA from 1 species
CAAUUUCUUGAUGAAAAAUGCAGAUUUGAGCUUACUUUUUCAGUUUGGACUAAAAAUAUCAAGUGCAAUGCGGAGUGUAGUAGCAAGUUCACUAAUCAGUACAGAUCUUGAAAACAAAAAGAGUAAAGCUAAAAUGGUGGGGUUUUGAUAGAAACAAUUGGUAUGAUUACACUUCUUACAUAUGGAAAAUCCAUAAUAAUGAAAUUUCAAGCACGAAGUGAGAAAAAGAGAAAGAG